AGACUGGGGCCCCAAGAUCGAUGUUGUUGGAUUUUGCUUCCUUGAUCUUGCUUCGGAUUACGUACCUCCUGAAGAACUUGUGAAAUGGCUUGAAGCUGGUGACAAGCCAAUUUAUGUUGGUUUUGGUAGCCUUCCAGUUCAAGAUCCAGCAAAGAUGACUGAAACCAUUGUCAAAGCACUCGAAAUGACUGGACAGAGAGGUAUCAUCAACAAAGGUUGGGGUGGCCUUGGAACAUUGGCAGAACCAAAAGAUUCCAUAUAUGUACUUGACAACUGCCCUCAUGACUGGAUUUUAUUGCAGUGUAAGGCAGUGGUAAGCCU